UUAAACAAACAAACAAAUAAAUAAAUAUAAAUAAAUAAUAAACAUGAAAAAAAUUUUUGAAAGAGUUUCAGUUUGUAGUACAGCCUAGCCUUGAACUGAUAAUCCCCCUGCCUCUGCGUCUCAAAUGCUGGGUUGCAGCUGUGCGCCACCAUGACCACUGGGUCUUUUGAGCUUGAUGCUGGGGGUGGUGCCUGGAUGUUUGCACCAGUCUUGAUGCAGGGGACACUUGAAGCAGUAAAACUGACGCUAUGAGGAUUUUCCAACAAAUGCUCUUAGGAAAUACCAAGUUGCCUGAGGUAGAAUUUAGCUCAAGGAAGGCUGCUUCCGGCGACUGGAGGUAAGCAGCGCUCUUGCAGGCUGACUAGACAGUGUACUAAAGAAAAUCUGGACCGUGACUGAUAUUUAAGGUUCCUGAGAAAGUUUCUGCUAACAUUUUUUUCACCAAGACUGGUCUCCAAUGGGCUCCAUUCCACAGGACAAACCUGACUUAAAACUGGCCAUUAGCCCAUUCCCAAAUCACAGAACAUGCCUCUUCCCCGCAGUUCCCGGUCACAACCAUAGCAAGUCCUGGAUGCCGUUAAGUCCUCUUCUCUCUUAACAGGAAAGCAUAAUCCUACAGGUGGGCACAGUGGACCUGUGUAGCAACUGCUCCACAAGAACAGCAUUGGUGGACCCAAGAAAUAGUUCUGGGGCUGGAGAGGUGGCUCUGUGGCUAAGAGAGAACCCGGGUUCAAUUCCCGGCACCCACACGGCAGCUCACUACUGCCUGGACCUCCAGUUCCAGGGGAUCCAAGACCCUCACACAGACAUACGUGCAGGAACUCCCUACACAGCUGAAGAUGACCUUGAACUUCCGACCCUCCAGCCUCCCACCUCACCAAUGCAGCAGUUACAGGACCCUCUCCACCCCCGCCACCCGCCUGCUACCUGUGAACCAGAUACUACUGCUCCAACGCUUUGCCUGCCUGCUUCCCACCAUGCCGAUCUGCCGCUCUGCAACUAUGCCUACGCCAUUCCCUCCCGAGACCCAGUUCCUGCAGAAGGCUUCCCUAGACUGAGUCCUGCUGCACCCGCUGUGCUCCCAUGACGCUACACAGCACGGCUCCACUGUGCUGACGUGGCCGGUUCACCCAGCU